rnacentral:rRNA from 1 species
GGCGAACGCUGGCGGCGUGCUUAACACAUGCAAGUCGAACGGAAGGGCCCUGCGUUUGUGGGGUGCUCGAGUGGCGAACGGGGGAGUAACACAUGAGUAACCUGCACUUGACUUUGGGAUAACUUCAGGAAAAUGGGGCUAAUACCGGAUAGGAGCUCCUGAUGCAUGGUGGGGGUUGGAAAGAUUCGGCGGUUGGGGAUGGACUCGAGGCUUAUCAGCUUGUUGGUGGGGUAGUUGCUUACCAAGGCUUUGAAGGGUAGCCGGCCUGGGAGGGUGACCGGCCCCAUUGGCACUGGGAUACGGCCCAGACUCCUACGGGAGGCAGGAGUGGGGAAUAUUGGACAAUGGGCGGCAGCAGUAAGCAGGAACGCCGCGUGGGGGAUGACUGCUUUCGGGUAGUAACCCGUUUUCGCGUGUGACGAAGCGUGAGUGACGGUAAUGGGCAAAGAAGCACCGGCUAAUUACGG